UGGGGAAUUUUGGACAAUGGGCGCAAGCCUGAUCCAGCCAUGCCGCGUGCGGGAAGAAGGCCUUCGGGUUGUAAACCGCUUUUGUCAGGGAAGAAAUCCUUUGAGCUAAUACCUCUGGGGGAUGACUGUACCUGAAGCAUAAGCACCGGCUAACUACGUGCCAGCAGCCGCGGUAAUACGUAGGGUGCCAGCGUUAAUCGGAAUUACUCGGCGUAAAGCGUGCGCAGGCGGUUAUGUAAGACAGAGGUGAAAUCCCCGGGCUCAACCUGGAAACUGCCUUUGUGACUGCAUAGCAAGAGUACGGUAGAGGGGGAUGGAAUUCCGCGUGUAGCAGUGAAAUGCGUAGAUAUGCGGAGGAACACCGAUGGCGAAGGCAAUCCCCUGGACCUGUACUGACGCUCAUGCACGAAAGCGUGGGGAGCAAAC
rnacentral:rRNA from 1 species